ACUAAGACAACGAACAACACACCACCUGACAGACGAAUCUGUGUAAACACUGGCUUUGCUAACAUAACUGUCGAUAGUCACCUAACUGAAGAAAAUGAAACCUUUCAUCAUGAGAUUAACGUCUCAUGAUAAUAUAUUUUCCAAAAACUAAGUGUAAAGGAUCAAAAACAAAAUUUUGGCCUAUACUAAAAUAAUAUGGGUUCAUUUGCAUACACAAAUACAGAGACAUGCACAUGCCUCAUUUUUGCAAACUUCAGUUUUCAAUAUAUUUUUUCCCAAAAAUUGCAAGAGGUUAUUAUAGGUUAGCCUGAGGAGAACAACUUUUUUAAUUCAUUACUUUUAAUCACGAAGAAUUCAAUUUCCAUAAAAUCAACUUUUAGUUUAAGAAGGUAUCCAGUGUUCCCACAAAGGUGGAGUUUUCCCCUCAUCUGCAUCAGGGUGGAUUUCUGUAGCAUAUUGAUACUGAAUUUCCAUUUUAACCUUCUGUAUAGUACCAUAUUUCUCUAUUACUAAUAAGCAGGUUGAAUCAUGGUAUGUGAAAUUGCUGGACUCAGUGAUAAAGGCAACCUCUAAUUUGUGUGCUACAGUGUGCUAAAGUGGUUUGUGCACAUACCGUUAUUCUUUGAUCAUGAAAUGGUUCUGUCCAUGUUUCAUAAUUCUGAUAUCAUGUUGAAUUAAAACAGCACAUAUUAUUGAUGGGUUCAUUAGUCAACGCUUACUCUGUGGACUUGAUACUAUUUCCUUUCAUUUUCAGCAAACCCAUCCAUCUUCGUAGUCACAUAGCGCCCGCCCAUCUGCGCACUGUGUUCUUGCCCUCACCCACCUCACUGAAUCUGAUGGACACUGUACAGUAGCUGUGUGUCCGUGCUGUAGUGUUGGCAGUAAUACCUGAGCUUGGUCAUCCCUGUUUAUAAGAAUCCAGCUUCUGGUCUCUGUUCUCAUUAACUGCCUAUUGCAUUAGAAUAUGAAAAAUAAAGGAGACUAGAGAGAGAGAAAGGAAGACUUAUUUUGCAUCCUGAAGGAAAAUAUAUAUAUAUUUAGACAGUGUAAACAAGCAACUGCUGCAGAACGUCCUGUGUGUAAUAGUGUCUCGUGUGUCCCCAUGUUCUGUGCUAAAUCAGGGGAGGCUGCAGAACGGUUCCCUUCCUGUCUCUUGUCCAUGGCUUCUACUUCCAGUGACAAACGUCUGCUAUGUACCUUUUGCAAUGGACUUUAUAAACUGCAUUCCCAAACCUUUUUUUUUUAAAUGAGCAAUUUCAUCAACACUGAAGUAUUAACAAAUUACAUGAGUCAGAGUACUGAGCUGAGAUGGCUUCUAGUUGAGCUUAAUUUCAUAUUUAAGUUUUGAAUUUAUCGCAAAAUACAUCCUAGCUGACAAGAACAAUUACGAAUGCCUUCUGCAUGUUCGUUAUUUCUAACAGACAUGGUGCAAUUUUUUUUAAAUACAAAAGUAUAUAGGGUUGGAAUGGAUGCCUCUGCACUCAUAUCUGUUGUGUGUCAGUCUUUAUAUUAACGCUGUACGGUAAGACUUAAAAUUCUAAGUUUCAUUCUAAGUAAAGGAUGGGCCAACCUUGAGUGGAGAUACUUUGCUUUGUUAGCUCCCGGUGGAGGCUGGCAUUUGAUCUUUUAUCUUUUACCAUAAACUUGGAAAUGUGUAUCUGGAAUGAAUUACUAGAAAAUGCACAAUUAUCUUCAAUGUUUUUGGCCCUUGGAUUGAUUCAAACCCCUACGUUCGAUAGAUUUGGGUAAAUUUUGCUGUUUUUAAAGUAUCUUUUGUGUAAAGAGAUUACAUUUUUUUAUAAUAAAUGGCAACUAUGACAAAUCGCUAGAAA
rnacentral:lncRNA from 1 species